rnacentral:rRNA from 1 species
AUUGAACGCUGGCGGCAGGCUUAACACAUGCAAGUCGAGCGGGGGAAGGUAGCUUGCUACUGGACCUAGCGGCGGACGGGUGAGUAAUGCUUAGGAAUCUGCCUAUUAGUGGGGGACAACAUCUCGAAAGGGAUGCUAAUACCGCAUACGUCCUACGGUAGAAAGCAGGGGAUCUCCGGACCUUGCGCUAAUAGAUGAGCCUAAGUCGGAUUAGCUAGUUGGUGGGGUAAAGGCCUACCAAGGCGACGAUCUGUAGCGGGUCUGAGAGGAUGAUCCGCCACACUGGGACUGAGACACGGCCCAGACUCCUACGGGAGGCAGCAGUGGGGAAUAUUGGACAAUGGGGGGAACCCUGAUCCAGCCAUGCCGCGUGUGUGAAGAAGGCCUUAUGGUUGUAAAGCACUUUAAGCGAGGAGGAGGCUACUCUAGUUAAUACCUAGGGAUAGUGGACGUUACUCGCAGAAUAAGCACCGGCUAACUCUGUGCCAGCCGCCGCAGUAA